rnacentral:misc_RNA from 1 species
UUUUGCUUUAUUGGUGGUGCCGUGGGCACCGAUUAACUUAGAGGGGUCACAAUGACACGGUUGAUUCAGGGUGUAAAGGUUGAGGCCACCGGCGGGCGCGGGCCAGAGGACGCCCGUAAUGGGGAUCCUCCGGCGGUCCGUAAACGAACGGACCCGCCGAAGCAACACAAAGGUUCAAUUGACAAAGGGUUGGGAGGUCGGGCCUGCAAGAGACCCUAACUCAGUAAUGAUCCUUCCGCAGGUUCACCUACGGAAA